GCAGAGUAGGGACCAGCGUGUCAAGCCCGGAAGGGCCAGUGCCGGCGGGACGGGGAGUUGUCCGCUGGACGAAAGGCGCGCGCCGCAGUGCUGGUCCCGCAUCCCGCUGC
rnacentral:ncRNA from 1 species